UGGGGGAAUUUUGGACAAUGGGGGAAACCCUGAUCCAGCCAUCCCGCGUGUGCGAUGAAAGGCCUUCGGGUUGUAAAGCACUUUUGUCAGGGAAGAAAAGGUUUCGGAUAAUACCCGGAACUGAUGACGGUACCUGAAGAAUAAGCACCGGCUAACUACGUGCCAGCAGCCGCGGUAAUACGUAGGGUGCAAGCGUUAAUCGGAAUUACUGGGCGUAAAGCGUGCGCAGGCGGUUCGGAAAGAAAGAUGUGAAAUCCCAGGGCUCAACCUUGGAACUGCAUUUUUAACUACCGAACUAGAGUAUGUCAGAGGGGGGUGGAAUUCCACGUGUAGCAGUGAAAUGCGUAGAUAUGUGGAGGAACACCGAUGGCGAAGGCAGCCCCCUGGGAUAAUACUGACGCUCAUGCACGAAAGCGUGGGGAGCAAACAGGAUUAGAUACCCUGGUAGUCCACGCCCUAAACGAUGUCAACUAGCUGUUGGGCCCUUCGGGGCUUAGUAGCGCAGCUAACGCGUGAAGUUGACCGCCUGGGGAGUACGGUCGCAAGAUUA
rnacentral:rRNA from 1 species